ensembl:lncRNA
AUGACGUGACGUCACAAGGCUGCGCCGCGCUCCUGCGUUUGCUGUGAUUCUGGUGAAGAAAGGUUGUGUUUUCGGCGAUUUAAGUUGAAGACGAACUGUUUUGUGCAAGUAAAGCGCACCCACACAUAACUAACAGAGAGGGUGUAUGUCAGUUCGUCCCAUAUACCGUGAAUCUGUUUAUCUCUCACACGAAUUCAAUCACUGUUGUUUAAAUUAUUACUUGCUGCUAGGAAGGAAUAUAACUAUUAUAAAGAUGGCUUUUAUUAAAGAGGAGAGUGAAGACGUGAAGAUUGAAGAAGCAUUCAGAGUCAAACAAGAAGAUACUGAGACACAAACAGGGUCCAGUCAUCCUCCUCAGGUCCAUCAUCAUCUGCCACUUCAUCUGAGUGGCUUUCAGCAACAGAGAAUUGAGACCCACUAGGAAAUGAAGGAAGACAGUAUGCACCAGAGACAUGCAAAGCUGACACCAGCACAUACGAGGACUUCUCUCCGGUUGAUACCUGGAACUACCCAGCUGCACCUCCAGAUGGUGUCCAUCUCAAUAACUCUUGAAGACGUUACCCAAAGGCUCACUCUUUUGUUUGGACUCAAGUAUGCAUUUUAUAUAGACUACUCUGCAGGUAUGAGGAAGACAUUUUAAUUUGUGUAGAAGGUGGCCAGUAUCUGUGUCUUUUAGAGCAGCGGCAGAACCUUCAGUUUUAAUGUGAAAGGUGCUUUCUCCACUUAAUUAAAGGGGCUUGUUGUAGCUUUGAAUACAAUUGUAGUUUUUCUGAAAACAUUGAAGUUUUUUUGUUUUGUUCAGUUUAUGGAAGUACAGUUUUGUACAGUACAAUUUUGUAUUUAAGGAUUGUAUUAGUAGCCUACAAUUUGUGAAAAAUUUGAAAGAAAUGAAUAAAAUGAGAUUACAUCAAAUCA